rnacentral:sRNA from 1 species
AAGGAGGCCGGGGGAGUGCUGAGUUUUCACCAGCUGUUUCCCGCCUUGAAACAGACAUCUGAUCAGCUGCAAACACACACACACACACACACAUACACACGCCCGGGGAGGCAGGCCGGAGAGACCUCCCUCCCGCCCCUCCCGCCCGCCUCCCUCCCCUCGCCGCCGCCGCCGCCGCCGCCGCCGCCGCCAGCAUCUGGGACCGGCCGAUUCUGCACCUCCGUCCGGCGCUGCCCUUUGAUUCGGAUUUCCAUCUUGCAUUCUCCGGCUGAUCGCGGGACCUGGCUCGUGCAGAGGAGGGGGGCCGAUCGCUAUGGAGUAUUUCAUGGUGCCCACUCAGAAGGUGCCCUCUUUGCAACAUUUCAGGAAAACAGAGAAAGAAGUGAUAGGAGGGCUCUGUAGCCUUGCCAACAUUCCACUAACCCCCGAGACUCAGCGGGACCAGGAGCGGCGGAUUCGGCGGGAGAUUGCCAACAGCAACGAGCGGAGGCGCAUGCAGAGCAUCAACGCGGGAUUCCAGUCCCUCAAGACCCUCAUCCCCCACACAGACGGAGAGAAGCUCAGCAAGGCAGCCAUUCUCCAGCAGACGGCCGAGUACAUCUUCUCCCUGGAGCAGGAGAAGACCAGGCUCUUGCAGCAGAACACACAGCUCAAGCGCUUCAUCCAGGUGCGCCCUGUCCUUCAUGGCUCCCUCUCCCUGGCAUGGGCAUGCCUUGGACCCAGCCAUGGGCCUGGGACUCAGGUGUGGCUGCAGGCCCCUUCUUGCCCACUGACAAGUACUUCCAGGCACUUUUUUUUCUGCCCCAGCCUCAGUUUCCCCAUCGGUCAAGUGCGGUGGAGUGGGCUCUGGAAGGAGCCAGGUGACUGUUAUGUAAAUCAUCCCAUUCUCCUGGCAUUUGGCUGGUUUGUUGGACUUGCAGAAGGGGCUCCCUAAUGAAGAUUCACCUGUGUUGGGCAGCUUUGGGGGGCUGCGAUGGAACCCCAAUCUCCGUGGUGGUACCGAGGUGUCAGGCACACUGACCGACUCCUUGGGGUCCCCAGGAGCUGAGCGGCUCGUCCCCCAAGCGACGGCGGGCAGAGGACAAGGACGAAGGCAUAGGCUCCCCGGACAUCUGGGAGGACGAGAAGGCGGAGGACCUGCGGCGGGAGAUGAUUGAGCUGCGGCAGCAGCUGGACAAGGAGCGCUCAGUGCGCAUGAUGCUGGAGGAGCAGGUGCGCUCGCUGGAGGCCCACAUGUACCCGGAAAAGCUCAAGGUGAUCGCGCAGCAGGUGCAGCUGCAGCAGCAGCAGGAACAGGUGAGGCUGCUGCA